UUCAUGUUACCGAGAAAUCUGUAGGUCUCUGAGGUUUUCCGCUUUUAGGGUUUCGGAUGUCUCGAACGUGCUAUGUCCUCGCCAUUGAUUAAUCACAAUGCUUUGUGGAGUGUUACAGCAUGUUGGUGAGCAAACGAUUGUCUUUACAUCACAAUCUUGCUUGGGGCAUGAAUUUCGCUCCGCUUCUUAACUGCACCAGUCCUGAGGGCUACUGUGACGAUGAUAGUAACACUUCCGUUUGCAGAGGAUUUUUGGCAUUGACGAAAUUUCUCCGCCUCAGCCAUCGCUGCUGCGCAGUUGAGGCGCUCUUGCAACUGGACGUAUCAAUCCUAUCAGAAAAUCUGCCUCAAUUCCAGGACUGAUGUGCGUUGGGUGCAGUUCUUUAGAAGUUUUCCUGCUCGUAAUCCUUGCAGACAAUGCGUAAUUUAGUAGUCGUUUAGUGCAGGUGAUGUCGUGGCUUAGGAUGUUCAUCACUUGUGAAGCGACCAAAAUCUCACAAUGCCAACGAUUAGACCAGAUUCGGGCGAGACCCGAGUCAUAGCCCGUCGUGAUCCUUCUCACAAGGCCUGUGUGGAUCCCCUCUCUGAUUGCCUUCAUUAUAUCCCUAGCUGUGCUCCGUGACAUGAACAUAUAUUUCGAUUCCCCCCGAUCAUCAAUUUAUGCAGAUUUGGUCUUUGCGAAAACCUACUGGGCACCCCAUCUAAUCACGCAUUGCUUGCAAUAGCUCGCAACCCCAUUUGUCUCUUUUAGUAUUGGUCCUUCCAAUGACUGUUUCAUGAUUCGAGGUGUCUUUCUUAGAAGCUCUAAUUCCCCUAGUAUUCUCUUGCGAGGAACUUACGCUGAAGCUGCGUAUCGCUGUAGCGCGGAGGUAUUUGCGAGUUGUGCUGGAACUCACUGAAUCACUGGCUAUCAAGUUGAUCAAGGAUCUUUUAUGGACGUUUUACUUACUUUGAGACAGAUCUAAUCAAGUUCUUAUAUAUUUAUGAUCUGUGAUGGCAACUGUCGAAUUUUUGCUGAGCAUGAUGUGCUUGAUACACCGCAGCCUUUAGUGACUCAAAGCGAGUGAUCGUGUCGCUGGUAAACAAUGACAUGAGGCUUGAUGGGAGAUUAGUUUCUCAUUGGUGAUCUAUUCGACACAUGAAUGCGAAAAUGAAAUGCAAGCAGGUCUAUAUAUUUCAUUUACCACCACCACCAGUCGAUACAAGACCCUGGCAACACCUGGCAGAGUAGCGAGUUGCAUACCUUGUAAGACAGAUACACCAACAAGGUUAACUUGUGGGAGCAUCUAAGUAGAUUAUCUGCUUAAACCAGUGUUGGAGCUGGUGUGAUCAAAUGUCUACUAUUUCUAAUCCCAUGUACUAGGUAUGUGUUCUCUCUUCAUUCCGCUGUCAGUGUGAAUAUGUGACUAAUGUUGCCUCCCUCGGUUGAUUUGUGUUUUAGUCGGAAUGUUAUGCUCUGUGAUCAAGGACUGUUUUGAUUUUAGAUAUACUUUGCUAACAAACAUUGUCAUACAGCAUUGUUUUGAGUAACCUUUAUAACCAUAAAUCUUCAAAACUCAUAUGCAUUUAAUGAAAAUUUUAAGCCUGUGCAUAAAGUAGCCAAGGACCAAAUUUUAUUUUCAAUGCAAGUUUGAUCUUUUACAUUCAUUAUGUUUUUUACUUUUAAUUUUUAUUCAAUUUUGUAACCUUUAUAAUUGGAAUUGAUAUUCUAAUAAUUUUGUAAAACACAAACAAAAUAUAUAAACGAUGUAGAACAGAGCAAAGAAAAAAUAUUACUUAUUAGUCCAUUAUAAUAUUUGCAAAUUCUUGUGUUUUGAAAUUCAUUGAUAUAUUUAGAUAAUUGUAGAAAAAGAAGAAAUAAAUGAAUAAAAAUGAAAAUUUUACUCUACUUUUAUAAAUGUGAGGAUUAUUUCUUAGAGAGAAAAACUUGGUAUAAUAAAUUCAUUGAUAGAAGAAAAACAAGGAACAAAAAAAUAACUUCACUUCUAGUAUUUAAAAAUGUAAAGUUAGUAUUGUAAUUAUGUGUUGUUAUUAUUGUUAUUUACUCAAUUACAUUUACUCAAUAAUCAAUUUCAUUUGAUUAUUUUAUGUGUUUUAAAAUCAAUUAAGUGUUUUUAUCAUCCUUAAUUUGUCUCAUUUUUUGAGGAGACGUGUUUCAUAUUCAAGAUUUUUUUCAAGUUCCUUCUUUAAGGUAGUCCAAUUAAUUUGUUUGUAAUUUAUUAAACCACUCCAAAUCCUACUUCUAAUAGAAAUGUCAUUUUAUACUCUUUGUUCAAAGAUAAGUUUUUGUUUUGUUUUGUUUUUUUUUUUUUUCGAUCUAGAUAGUUCAUUAGUAGAGUUUAUUUAAUAGUAAUCAAAUCUAAUUGAAGCAUGUAAAUUAAGAAGGGAUAUUUUUUGCAAAGAUGGCUGUUUUUUUUUGAGGAUGUUUUCUAUGGCCUUCAUUUCUAAAAAUUUAAUAAUAAUCUAUAUAGAAUGAGUUGGAUUGAUUUUUUAGGCUAUUCUAAUAAGUUUUAGAAAGUUGGCUAUUUGAUUCUUGUUGUCAUUAGAGUGUUGUUUCAUUUAAUCAAAGGAUAGAUUUUCAUUGUAGUAGAGAAUUCUUCAUUGGUUAUACGUACAAAAUAUUAGAUACAUAUAUAUAUAUAUAUAUAUAUAUAUACCUUGUUAGAAUGUAGCAUUUCAUAUUCUAAAAAAAUAGUAAUUUAAAAAAGUUUAUAAAUGAUCAAUGUCUUAUGCGAGUCUGUAUUUUGAUCUUUAAUUUCAUUUAAAGUUGAAGAUUGUAGAAGAGCUUUA